rnacentral:lncRNA from 1 species
GGAGAGCGGAGGAAUGAAGGAGAGCAGAGAGGAGAGGCUUGGAGGCCCCCAAAGGCUCUGCGCAGACCAGCACUGUCUCCUCCUUCAUCCACAGAGAGGAUGAAAGAACAUGGCAAGAGGAAGACUCACAGAACCCCACAGAGAAGCUUUGAGAAUUGGGCUGUCUGGCUCUCCCAUCACCCAUUUGGCCACCAGCUUUGGUCCCAGCUGCUGUGCCCUCGGGGGAUGCAUUAUGGCCCUGAAAGGGGCCCUUGUCCCUUUUUGGGGUGUCAUCCUGGCUGGGUGGUAUGGAUUUCUGCUGUAAACAUGGCCCAUCUGGGAGAAGCCCAGGUGCCACGUUUUGAACAGCUCUGAAACUUAAAGCUCAGAAGGCUUUGAAAUGCAAAUAUUUUGAAGGAAACAUAAGGAGGAACAUGAAUAUCUCCAGAUCUCAGAGAGGAUGUCUGACCCUUGAGCCAGAAGAAGGCCCAUUUACUCUGUGUUCACUGAUUAAUCCUGAAUGCCAAAUGUGGUGCCUGAUACACAGGAGGUACUUCAUAAUCAUAAU